rnacentral:rRNA from 1 species
UACAGAGGGUGCAAGCGUUGUUCGGAAUUAUUGGGCGUAAAGCGCGUGUAGGCGGCUUGGCAAGUCAGAUGUGAAAGCCCUCAGCUCAACUGAGGAAGUGCGCCCGAAACUGCAUGGCUUGAGUACCGGAGAGGAUGGCGGAAUUCCCGAAGUAGAGGUGAAAUUCGUAGAUAUCGGGAGGAACACCGGCGGCGAAGGCGGCCAUCUGGACGGAUACUGACGCUGAGGCGCGAAAGCGUGGGGAGCAAACAGGG